ACUGACCUCAUCAGUUCGACAUGAGAUGGCACAGUGGUUAGCGCGUCGGCUCCCCAAGUGGGAGACCCGGGUUCGAGUCCGCCAGGGGGCAGCAAUGUCCCCAAUGACACGAGACCGAACCAGAGGUGGUGCGUGCAGCUCCACCUCCCAGUCCACCUCCUGCAAACACAGAAGCAGCAGAGCAGGCGCAUCAGGAAACUGUGUUUUGAAGUUCUUGGGAACAGCUUGUGAACACCCACACACAGGAAUGGAUUAAUGAACAGAACGACACUACUGAGCCCAGGCGAAGAGGGCCAUGAAGCCAAGGGGCCAGGAGGACAAACUGAACUUUCCCACCUCCCACCAUUCCCUAAGGGGCCUUGGGUACCACGUAUAAUAAUACAGUAUAUAUGUACAGUU